rnacentral:rRNA from 1 species
GAUGAACGCUGGCGGCAUGCCUAAGACAUGCAAGUCGAACGAAGUGGCCCAUUGAAGAUUGCGUGCUUGCACAAGAUUGGAUUUGGAUUCCCACUUAGUGGCAGACGGGUGAGUAACACGUGGGUAACCUACCCUGGAGACUGGGAUAACUACUGGAAACGGUAGCUAAUACCGGAUGAUUCAUAAUUAGAUAACUAGUUAUGCUAAAAGGAGCGUUUGCUCCACUUCAGGAUGGGCUUGCGUUGUAUUAGCUAGUUGGUGAGGUAAUGGCUCACCAAGGCAACGAUGCAUAUCCGAACUGAGAGGUUGAUCGGACACAUUGGGACUGAGACACGGCCCAGACUCCUACGGGAGACGAGCAGUUAGGAAUAUGCGUCAAUGGGGGAAACCCUGAACGAGCAAUGCCGCGUGAGUGAUGAAGGUCUAUUGAUCGUAAAACUCUAGUUGUAAGGACGAAGAACGUGAC